AGCCUGUGGCUGUGUCUGAAGCAGGAGGGGUGACUUCAGGUCUCUGGAAGGCAGAGCUAUACUGUGUCUUCAAACAUAAGGCUUGGCGGGGCUCGGUUGGUAAAAAAAACAAAAACAAAAACACCAACAACAAAAACACACAAACAAAAAAUAUAAGUAAGACUUGGCAUGUUUCCUUGGUGAGGGGACAUGGGCAAUGAGGACAAGGCAAAACGUCAGCCUGCCUGGGACACACUUGCACUUCACCCUUGGGGAGUUAAGAAGCCACUGAGUGACCAAGGCUCAGCGCAGAGACCCCUGGCCUGAGCUUCUCGAGGCCCAGGCCCCUGUGUAGAGUCCAGGUGUGCAGAAAUCGCUGGCUAUCGUUGUAGAAUGAAGGAAAAAUCAGGAAGGGCACCUGGCUGGCUCAGUCGGUAGAGCAUGAGACUCCUGAUCUCGGGGUCGUGAGUCUGAGCCUCACCUUGGGUGUAGAGAUGACUUAAAAAUAAAAUCUUAGAGGUGCGUGGUUGGCUUAGUCCGUUAAGCUUCCAACUCUUGACCUCAGCUCAGGUCUUGAUCUCAGGGUUUUGUGUUCAAGCCCUGCGUUGGGUUCUACGCUGGGCUUUGAGCCUACUUAAGAAAGAAAAAAAAAUCUUAAAAAAAAAAAAAAUUAGGAGCCUCUGGCCCAGUCCCUUAUUUUAUAGGAGGGAGAACAGCCCAGAGUGGGAGCUUGAUGUGUGUAAGUCACACAGCAGGCAGUGAGAGAGCCAGCCUACAAAUGUUGCUCCUCCUUUCACUCCAGCCUCUCCUUUUCAGAAAGGGCCUUGUGGCAGGGAGGGAGACGUUUGUCGGGCCCCAGCAGGGCCCUCUGCACCUCCCCCAGGUCCAAGCAAUGACCUCCUGUGUCAGGGAGAGGAGGUGAGGUCAGCAGUUCUCGUAGAAGGGGAGAGGAGGUGCCACCCUGCCUGGGAUGGUCCGGUCUCCACCUCACCUCACCCUCCCUGGCUCCAGACAGGAGCUUCUAAGGAACCUGGCUGGGCAGCCUUUGCCUCCUUGGAAAGCCUCCAGGGGAGUUACAAGGAAACCGUCCCUGUCUGCUGUCUGCAUUCUCCACAGGCCCUGGCACUCCCUGUCCAGAAGGGCUGGGGCUGCUCCUCAUGCUCUCCCGGGGCACCAGGCCCCUUCCCCUUCUCUCCCCUGCAGAGGUGCUUGGGUGAGAGAGCAGAGGCACGGCGCCCUGAGUGACUUGCAGAAACAGCCCCUGCUGAGUCAUCCUUUACAAAUAUGCCGCCAGGUUAUGGCAGCCCUCCGUCUAAAGCCCCUCCUCGGUCCAGUAAAGCUCAAGUCUGAACAAGCCCUGACUCUUGAGCCCUUGUCACCUCCCAGACUGCAGCUCUGUGGCUCUCCUUCCAUCACCCCUCCAGCCAGCCUGACCCCUCACUACUUCCCUCUCACCAGACAUGGCAGCCCAGCAGCCUCAGGACGUUUGCACUUGCACUUGCAGCUGAGUUGGGAUUCGGUGAUGGGGCCAGUUCCUUCGUGAGACCUAAUAAGGAACAUGGGGAGCCCCCAUGCUCACUCAGCCCUCCGGGCUCUGGUGUUUUGUGGACACACAGGCUGGAGAGGGCCUCCAGAGUCCUCCUGAUCUUUGCUGAAAUGCCACCUUCUCAGGGAGGCCUUCCUGGAUCACCCUGUUUGAAGAUGCCAUCUGCUUUUCACUCCUCACCUCUUUCCUGGUUUUAUUUUUCUCCAACUAACAUACUCUGUACUUUACCAUUACUUUCAAGUCACAAUCCUCUUGGCCUCGCCAGGAUGACUGCAACACAACAGCAGAUAUUUUUGUCACUCUCUUCCUUCACUGCUGGGUCCUUGGGAUGUCGCACAGCGCCAGGCACACAGCAGGCCCCCCACAAACCCCGGGUGAACACUGGAUGAUGAGGGAAUGACUAAACAGGUUGGGAAUUUAUGAAAUGCAUACUUGAAGGAUAGUUCCAUUAUCUCUGCAAAAAUGGAGGUGAAGCUGUUGUCUGCCAUGUUGGGAAAUGCCCUGGAUUUAACUCCUACAAAGACAUCCAUUCUGGAAUUCAGAAUCAGGAAAAGGCUUAUCUCCAGCUGAGCUCAUAUGAUCUUCUUUCUCUGUUAACCAAGUGCAUAAUGCAGUGGAGCUCUGUUGUGUUUGCCCUCCUCCUCCUAUGACCCUGAGCUCCCGUGUAAAGAAGUCUGGCCACCCUACUGGAGGGACCAUAUGAGAGAGGAGGCCUGGGCAGCCUCUAGAUAUUCCAUUCACCAUACUGACAGCACCAGCCAUGUAAGGGAAGCCAUGUUGGACUUCCUAGUCCCAGCCAAGCAGAGCACUGAACACAAAGUGUGACGCAGUCCUGAUGACAUUACCUGGGCCUUUGGAUCCAGCCAUGCCUGAAGUCAGUCCAGCUGGAAGCCGCUGAAUGCACCUGCCUGAGCGCCAACACCAUGUGGAGCAGAAAAACUACCCAGAUGAGCCCAGCCCACCCACAGAAUCAUGAGAAAUAAUA